UUCUUAUUGGAUGAUGACUGUCACGUAUCAUGUUAUGAUUGGAUGUCAACUCUAUGAAAGAUGAGAUGCAUUGUUGUUUUCAUUAACCAAUCAGAACAUGACCAAUCGU
rfam:Glycine max cultivar Williams 82 chromosome 9, whole genome shotgun sequence.